UAAUUUCUUCUGACCUUUUGAGAUCAGACGGUUCCCUUCUGCUGUGGGCUGAACUGUGUGACCCAGCACAGAUGCUGAAGUUCUAACCUGGAGUAUCUCAGAUGUAGCUGGAGACAGUCUCUAAAGAGGUGGUUAUUGGAGACAAUGAUGGGGUAGUUAUGUGCUUUGGCAUGAAGAAAGGAGAAACAGUGACUGUGUUCAAGACUUUACCAGGCCUGAAGAUCGAGAGGCUGGAACUAGGAGGGGUUCUGAACACACCUCAGGAGAAGAUUUUUGUUGCUGCUGGAUCUGAGAUUAGAGGCUUCACAAAGAGAGGAAAGCAGUUCCUCUCUUUUGAAACAAACCUCACUGAAAGCAUUAAAGCCAU